GCAUCCACCGGAUCGAUCGCACGGGUGACCACCAGAUAGUCACGCAGCACGAUGGCGUGCCGGUUGUC
rnacentral:sRNA from 1 species